GAUGAAGAACGCAGCGAAAUGCGAUACGUAGUGUGAAUUGCAGAAUUCAGUGAAUCAUCGAAUCUUUGAACGCACAUUGCGCCCUUUGGUAUUCCAAAGGGCAUGCCUGUUCGAGCGUCAUUUGUACCCUCAAGCUUUGCUUGGCGUUGGGCGUCUUGUCUCCAGUCCGCUGGAGACUCGCCUUAAAGUCAUUGGCAGCCGGCCUACUGGUUUCGGAGCGCAGCACAAGUCGCACUCUUUUCCAGCCAAGGUCAGUGUCCAACAAGCCUUUUUUCAACUUUUGACCUCGGAUCAGGUAGGGAUACCCGCUGAACUUAAGCAUAUCAAUAAGCGGAGGA
rnacentral:misc_RNA from 1 species